CCUACGGGUGGCUGCAGUGGGGAAUAUUGGACAAUGGGCGAAAGCCUGAUCCAGCCAUGCCGCGUGUGUGAAGAAGGCCUUCGGGUUGUAAAGCACUUUCAGUGGGGAAGAAAGCCUUGGGGCUAAUACCCUCGAGGAAGGACAUCACCCACAGAAGAGGCACCGGCUAACUCCGUGCCAGCAGCCGCGGUAAUACGGAGGGUGCGAGCGUUAAUCGGAAUUACUGGGCGUAAAGCGCGCGUAGGCGGUCUGAUAAGCCGGUUGUGAAAGCCCCGGGCUCAACCUGGGAACGGCAUCCGGAACUGUCAGGCUAGAGUGCAGGAGAGGAAGGUAGAAUUCCCGGUGUAGCGGUGAAAUGCGUAGAGAUCGGGAGGAAUACCAGUGGCGAAGGCGGCCUUCUGGACUGACACUGACGCUGAGGUGCGAAAGCGUGGGUAGCAAACAGGAUUAGAUACCCGGGUAGUC
rnacentral:rRNA from 1 species